UACGGAGGGUGCAAGCGUUGUCCGGAUUUAUUGGGUUUAAAGGGUGCGUAGGUGGCCUUAUAAGUCAGCGGUGAAAGUCUGCAGCUUAACUGUAGAACUGCCAUUGAUACUGUAAGGCUUGAGUACUGAUGAGGUAGGCGGAAUUGAUAGUGUAGCGGUGAAAUGCAUAGAUAUUAUCAAGAACACCGAUUGCGAAGGCAGCUUACUAAGGAGUUACUGACACUGAGGCACGAAAGCGUGGGGAUCAAACAGG
rnacentral:rRNA from 1 species